rnacentral:rRNA from 1 species
GUCUUUUUGUAAAUAAUUUAAAGUCAAGCCUGCCCACUGAUAAUUUAAAGGGCCGCGGUAUUUUGACCGUGCUAAGGUAGCAUAAUCAUUAGUUUUUUAAUUGAAAGCUGGAAUGAAUGGUUGGAUGAAAAAAUAACUGUCUCUUUUUUAAUAUAAUUAAAUUUUAUUUUUAAGUUAAAAAGCUUAAAUUGAUUUUAAAGACGAUAAGACCCUAUAGAGUUUUAUAAAAUAGAAAUAAUUAAGUUUUUAGAAUUAAAAUUUUAAUUAUUAAUUUUUAUUUAGUUGGGGUGAUUGAAAAAUUUAAUAAACUUUUUUUAAAAUUAUAUUCAUUAAUAAAUGAAAGAUUUGAUCCAAUUUUAUUGAUUAUAAGAUUAAAUUACCUUAGGGAUAACAGCGUAAUUUUUUUAGAGAGUUCAAAUUGAAAAAAAAGAUUGCGACCUCGAUGUUGGAUUAAAAUUAAUUUUUGGUGUAGAGGCUAAGAAUAUUAGGUCUGUUCGACCUUUAAAAUUUUACAUGA